GCUUCAUGAAUUUUGCCCCCUCAAUUCAUUUCUUUUUUGAUCUACCCCUUCAAUCUUUUAAAAUCCCAAAAUACCCUUAUGUGUUUUUUUUUUAUAUGUUUUUUUCUUUCCUUUCUUCGACUUUUCCCCUCCAUCUCUUUAUCCAUAACCAGACCUUAGGAGCCCUCUGUUUCCUUUCAUGAAUCGGCCGGAUUGUAAGCGUGGAGACUGCGCGUUUUGAAGGAGAUGGUGAAGAGGUGACUCAGAGAGAAAACUGCAGGAUUUUAGAGAGCCCUAGGAGCAGAAGCAGAAGCAACAGGCAUUUCUUGCUGAGAGAUAUGUAUGAUGAUAUGAUGCUGGAUGGAGUACAGCCAACUAGGGAUACAUUCCAUUCUGUCAUCAGUUAGUGGAAAGGUGCUUUCAUGUUUGUUAUCAUGGACUUUCAUUCUUUCUAGAAUUUUCCGUUUGGUUGAUUUUGUUUUGUUGCAGGUGGAUAAGCAAAAUGCUCAUUUCUUUGGUGUUACAAUCAACGAGCAACAAGCCGAGUGUGGUAUUGUAGAAAGAGUUACUUCAAAUGCACAAGGCAAAUUUAAGUUACUUUAUUUCGAGCAAGAUGUGAAUGGCGGUUAUGGUUUGGCCCUACAGGUACCAUAUCUUCUUUCCUAUUGUGUCUCCAA